rnacentral:rRNA from 1 species
UACGAAGGGGGCUAGCGUUGCUCGGAAUUACUGGGCGUAAAGCGCGCGUAGGCGGGUCGUUAAGUCGGGGGUGAAAUCCUGGAGCUCAACUCCAGAACUGCCUUCGAUACUGGCGAUCUUGAGUCCGGGAGAGGUGAGUGGAACUCCGAGUGUAGAGGUGAAAUCGUAGAUAUUCGGAAGAACACCAGUGGCGAAGGCGGC